GACGAACCGUACGAACGUUAUUCGGAAUCACUGGGCUUAAAGGGUGCGUAGGCGGCGCAGUAAGUUGGGUGUGAAAUCCCUCGGCUUAACCGAGGAAUUGCGCCCAAAACUACUGUGCUCGAGGGAGGUAGAGGUGAGCGGAACUUAGGGUGGAGCGGUGAAAUGCGUUGAUAUCCUAAGGAACACCGGUGGCGAAAGCGGCGCACUGGACCUCUUCUGACGCUGAGGCACGAAAGCUAGGGUAGCAAACGGG
rnacentral:rRNA from 1 species